AAUGAACGCUGGCGACGUGCCUAACACACGCAAGUCGAACGAGAAAGCCCUUCGGGGUAAGUAGAGUGGCAAACGGGUGAGUAACACGUAAGAAUCUACCUUUUGGUGGGGAAUACCUUUGAGAAAUUGAGGUUAAUACCACAUAAGUCCCUUCGGGGAGAAAGGCCGCGUAAUGCGGUCGCCGGAAGAUGAGCUUGCGGCCUAUUAGCUAGUUGGUGUGGUAAGAGCGCACCAAGGCGAUGAUGGGUAACCGGCCUGAGAGGGUGUACGGUCACACUGGAACUGAGACACGGUCCAGACUCCUACGGGAGGCAGCAGUGGGGAAUCUUGCGCAAUGGACGAAAGUCUGACGCAGCCAUGCCGCGUGAAUGAUGAAGGUCUUAGGAUUGUAAAGUUCUUUAGCCUGUGACGAUGAUGACGGUAACAGGAGAAUAAGCCCCGGCUAACUUCGUGCCAGCAGCCGCGGUAAUACGAAGGGGGCUAGCGUUGUUCGGAAUUACUGGGCGUAAAGCGCGCGUAGGCGGUUUUACAAGCCAGAGGUGAAAUGCCUGAGCUCAACUUANGAAUUGCCUUUGGAACUGUAUGGCUUUGAGGACGANAGAGGUGAGUGGAAUUCCCAGUGUANAGGUGAAAUUCGUAGAUAUUUGGGAAAGAACACCGGUGGCGAAGGGCGGCUCACUGGCCUCNUUUUNUGACCCCUUGUNACCCCGAAAANCGUGGUGGGAAANACCNCCGGUGGCGAGGGCGGCUCACUGGCUCGUUUNUGACGCUGUAGCGCGAAAGCGUGGGGAUCAAACAGNAUUAGAUACCNUGGUAGUCCACGCUGUAAACGAUGAGUGCUAGGCGUCGGCACGCUUGCGUGUCGGUGCCGCAGCUAACGCGUGAAGCACUCCGCCUGGGGAGUACGGCCGCAAGGUUGAAACUCAAAGGAAUUGACGGGGACCCGCACAAGCGGUGGAUGAUGUGGUUUAAUUCGAUGCAACGCGAAAAACCUUACCUACCCUUGACAUGUCAAGAAUUUUGCAGAGAUGUGAAAGUGCUCGAAAGAGAACUUGAACACAGGUGCUGCAUGGCCGUCGUCAGCUCGUGUCGUGAGAUGUUGGGUUAAGUCCCGCAACGAGCGCAACCCUUGUCAUUAGUUGCUACCGCAAGGAGCACUCUAAUGAGACUGCCGGUGACAAACCGGAGGAAGGUGGGGAUGACGUCAAGUCCUCAUGGCCCUUAUGGGUAGGGCUACACACGUCAUACAAUGGACGGUACAAAGGGCUGCCAACCCGCGAGGGGGAGCCAAUCCCGUAAAACCGUUCGUAGUCCGGAUCGCAGUCUGCAACUCGACUGCGUGAAGUCGGAAUCGCUAGUAAUCGUGGAUCAGCAUGUCACGGUGAAUACGUUCCCGGGUCUUGUACACACCGCCCGUCACACCAUGGGAGCGGGUUCUGCCAGAAGUAGUUAGCCUAACCGCAAGGAGGGCGAUUACCACGGCAGGGUUCGUGACUGGGGUGAAGUCGUAACAAGGUAACC
rnacentral:rRNA from 1 species